CUCAGCGAAAUUGAAUUCUCCGUGAAGAUGCGGAGUUCCCGCGGUCAGACGGAAAGACCCCGUGCACCUUUACUACAGCUUGACAGUGGUAUUGGCGAUUAUUUGUGUAGGAUAGGCGGGAGUCUAUGAAACCAGGGCGCCAGUUCUGGUGGAGACAUCCUUGAAAUACCGCCCUGAUGAUUGUUAAUAUCUAACCGCGGCCCAUGAACCUGGGUCCGGGACCCUGUCUGGUGGGUAGUUUGACUGGGGCGGUCGCCUCCCAAAGAGUAACGGAGGCGCGCGAUGGUAGGCUCAGGACGGUUGGAAACCGUCUGCGAGAGUGCAAUGGCAUAAGCCUGCCUGACUGCGAGACUGACAAGUCGAGCAGAGACGAAAGUCGGUCAUAGUGAUCCGGUGGUCCCUCGUGGAAGGGCCAUCGCUCAACGGAUAAAAGGUACUCUGGGGAUAACAGGCUGAUGGUGCCCAAGAGUCCAUAUCGACGGCACCGUUUGGCACCUCGAUGUCGGCUCAUCGCAUCCUGGGGCUGGAGCAGGUCCCAAGGGUUUGACUGU
rnacentral:rRNA from 14 species